rnacentral:rRNA from 1 species
CCUACGGGAGGCAACAGUGGGGGAUAUUGCACAAUGGGGGAAACCCUGAUGCAGCGACGCCGCGUGUGGGCAGACGGUCUUCUGGAUUGUAAACCACUGUCCCCAGGGACGAAAAUGACGGUACCUGGGGAGGAAGCUCCGGCUAACUACGUGCCAGCAGCCGCGGUAAUACGUAGGGAGCAAGCGUUGUCCGGAAUUACUGGGUGUAAAGGGAGCGUAGGCAGGGAUGCAAGUUGGGUGUAAAAACUACCGGCUCAACCGAUAGUCGCACUCAAAACUGCAGCUCUUGAGUGAAGUAGAGGCAGGCGGGAUUCCUAGUGUAGCGGUGAAAUGCGUAGAUAUUAGGAGGAACACCAGUGGCGAAGGCGGCCUGCUGGGCUUUUACUGACGCUGAGGCUCGAAAGUGUGGGGAGCAAACAGGAUUAGAUACCCGGGUAGUC